UUCAUCUUGAGUCCACGUUGCCGAUCUAAGUAGUAGUGCCGCAGGUACUGAUUUUUAAGUGAUACCUGUACACGGCUACUUACAUUGGCAACGAGCUGGAAAAUCAA
rnacentral:pre_miRNA from 15 species